CAGGUCGGCUUUCAAUGUUUCAAUAUUAUUUGUUAAAUUUGUUUAUUGUUUUAUUGAAUUCAACGCAGUGAUAUUUGCCUACGGAUACCAACGCCAAGGCCCACGGAUGGAGAGGUCGCCAGUCGUGCCUUAAUACCUAAGUGGAAGGAACUAGCCAAGCUCAAUAGCGAAGGGACGGGACAAGGAGUGAUAAGCAAAGGAGAAAAUUAAACAUGAAACAUAACAUUAAACAUAAAAGGUAUGGAGUGAUUAUAUGAAUAAAUACAAAGAGAAAAUGCUCCCAAAUUGCCUAAGGGGGCACAGUGAAUGGUUGAUGGUUCAGCCCUAAAAUGGAUAUGUCAGAUUGAAAGCUGCCGGUGAAUGCUAUAUAAUUGAUGUGAUGAGAUAUAGAAUCAGCAUGGAACAUGUGCCUGGUACGAGGAGCCAGCCCAAUCCAGCUAUACCAGCGUAUCCUGUACCCAGCAUCACGGACCAGGCCACCGCCUGCAAGUGCACCCCCGUGAAGGCAUAAAUUAUAAGUGUGCAUUUUGAUUGCUCGGUGAAGAAUACAUUUAGGAGAAAAGAUAAAUCAUACAUUUUGUUAUACUAUGCUGAUGUUUGCAAAUGUUACAUGAUACUACCUACUAAGAUAAAUAUGUUUUUUUGUAAAAUAAAGAAUAAAAAACUGUUAAACAGAA